AUUCCGUGAUGAAGGCACUUUCGUAAUAAUUAUUUGUACCUUGCUCAUGCUUCAUACAAGGACUCAUCAUCCAUUUGUUGGAAAGCAGUGAUCUCGUUCCACAACU
rfam:Gossypium raimondii Chr01_contig_865, whole genome shotgun sequence.